rnacentral:rRNA from 1 species
CGGUAAUACGUAGGGGGCAAGCGUUGUCCGGAUUUACUGGGUGUAAAGGGCGCGCAGGCGGAUUGAUAAGUCAGAGGUGAAAUCCUGCAGCUCAACUGCAGAACUGCCUUUGAUACUGCCAAUCUUGAGUACGGAAGAGAGAGACGGAAUUCCAGGUGUAGUGGUGAAAUACGUAGAUAUCUGGAAGAACACCAGUUGCGAAGGCGGUCUCUUGGUCCGUUACUGACGCUCAGGCGCGAAAGCGUGGGUAGCAAACAGGAUUAGAUACCCUGGUAGUCCACGCUGUAAACGAUGAAUACUAGGUGUUGGGCCGCAAGGUUCAGUGCCGCAGCUAACGCAUUAAGUAUUCCACCUGGGGAGUACGAUCGCAAGGUUGAA